GACUACAGGGGUAUCUAAUCCUGUUUGCUCCCCACGCUUUCGCACCUCAGUGUCAGUAUUAGCCCAGGUGGUCGCCUUCGCCACUGGUGUUCCUUCCUAUAUCUACGCAUUUCACCGCUACACAGGAAAUUCCACCACCCUCUGCCAUACUCUAGUCAGACAGUUUUGGAUGCAAUUCCCAGGUUGAGCCCGGGGCUUUCACAUCCAACUUAUCAAACCACCUACGCGCGCUUUACGCCCAGUAAUUCCGAUUAACGCUUGCACCCUUCGUAUUACCGCGGCUGCUGGCACGAAGUUAGCCGGUGCUUAUUCUGUCGGUAACGUCAAAACAGCAAGGUAUUAGCUUACUGCCCUUCCUCCCAACUUAAAGUGCUUUACAAUCCGAAGACCUUCUUCACACACGCGGCAUGGCUGGAUCAGGCUUUCGCCCAUUGUCCAAUAUUCCCCACUGCAGCCUCCCGUAGG
rnacentral:rRNA from 1 species